AACGAACGCUGGCGGCAUGCCUAACACAUGCAAGUCGAACGAGACCUUCGGGUCUAGUGGCGCACGGGUGCGUAACGCGUGGGAAUCUGCCCUUGGGUUCGGAAUAACAGUUGGAAACGACUGCUAAUACCGGAUGAUGACGUAAGUCCAAAGAUUUAUCGCCCCAGGAUGAGCCCGCGUAGGAUUAGCUAGUUGGUGAGGUAAAGGCUCACCAAGGCGACGAUCCUUAGCUGGUCUGAGAGGAUGAUCAGCCACACUGGGACUGAGACACGGCCCAGACUCCUACGGGAGGCAGCAGUAGGGAAUAUUGUACAAUGGGCGAAAGCCUGAUCCAGCAAUGCCGCGUGAGUGAUGAAGGCCUUAGGGUUGUAAAGCUCUUUUACCCGGGAUGAUAAUGACAGUACCGGGAGAAUAAGCUCCGGCUAACUCCGUG
rnacentral:rRNA from 1 species